rnacentral:rRNA from 1 species
AGCAGCCGCGGUAAUUCCAGCUCCAAUAGCGUAUAUUAAAGUUGUUGCAGUUAAAAAGCUCGUAGUUGAAUUUCGGGAUCAGUACGCUGGUCGUGCCUUCGGUAUGUACUGGUGUUACUGGUUCCUACCUUCUGACGAACCGUCAUGUCAUUAACUUGGUGUGGCGGGGAAUCAGGACUGUUACUUUGAAAAAAUUAGAGUGUUUAAAGCAGGCUCGCGCUUGAAUACAUUAGCAUGGAAUAAUGAAAUAGGACGUUCGAUCCUAUUUUGUUGGUUUCUAGGAUUGACGUAAUGAUUAAUAGGGAUAGUUGGGGGCAUUAGUAUUCAAUUGUCAGAGGUGAAAUUCUUGGAUUUAUUGAAGACUAACUACUGCGAAAGCAUUUGCCAAGGAUGUUUUCAUUAAUCAAGAACGAAAGUUAGGGGAUCGAAGACGAUCAGAUACCGUCGUAGUCUUAACCAUAAACUAUGCCGACUAGGGAUCGGAUGAUGUUAAUUUUUUAAUGACUCAUUCGGCGCCUUACG